CAAUAUGAUAAAUCAGUCUUGCAGAGAUGAUGUUUAUCUCUCUCAGAAAUGCUUGUUAGAGUUGUUAAGGAAAGUUGUAGAGCAGCAGAAAAUGCUUGAAGAAAACUGAAAGAGGAUAGUUUUUAAAUAGUUGUGUUGCAAUUAAUAUGUUUACUAUGUUAUAUUUCAGGAGGAGCUAGCCAGAGGAAAAGUUGCUGAAUUCCAACCAAAUUUGUUAUGCUUGGGUUGUCCCCAUCAGAUUAUGUCCUUUGUGCUCUCUCAAAUAUUAGCACCAAUGAUCUGGAGCAGACUUUACUGGCAUUACCAUUCUCAGGUGCACUCAAGCUGCUCUCCUAUACGAAGGACUGGACUUCAAAUCCUGACAAGGCUGGCGUCUACGCUUUAUAAAUGUGCUUUUGGUCAGAUGUUUUGGUUGAGCUAGUUUGCAGGAUCGUUUCAAUUUUGUUGCAGACACACCAUAGUUAAUUAGUACCUCAUCUGCCAGACCGGUGCUGGCUGUUCUAAAGGAGAUUAUUUGUGCUCGA